CAGGCUCUGUUUUUCAAUUUUUCUUUCUUUCUUCUUUCUUCUUUCUUCUUUUCUCUUUCACAGUCUCGACCAGACUCUCUGUUUUUUCUUUCUUUCUUUCUUCUUUCUUCUUUCUUCCUUCUUCUUUUCUCUUUCUGGACUCGACAUCACCAGGCUCUGUUUUUCACUUUUUUUCUUUCUUCUUUCUUCUUUCUUCUUUUUUUUUUCACAGUCAGCUGUCUCGACCAGAACCAGCAUAGUGCUCUGUUUAGACACCAACACUGUCCAGUUGCUUAAAUUAACCUGCACAGAUAAAACAAGAAAAAUUAAUCUGCAAUUCUGCUAAGUUGCUUAAAUUUAUUUGAUUUAUUGCUCUAUUUCCAGUUGCUUAAAUUAACCUGCACAGAUAAAACAAGAAAAAUUAAUCUGCAAUUCUGCUAAGUUGCUUAAAUUUAUUCGAUUUAUUGCUCUAUUUUCUAUAAAACAUCGCUGAAAAUUGAAAUGGCGUCAUCCGAUAAUAGUAAACGAAGUGAUAUAACUUGAAAUUAUGCUAUACACGGCCCGUCAAGAACUGCAAUUAAAUGUUUGUUCUGUGGAAAAACAUAUAAUAGUGGGAUAACUCGUCACAAGCAACAUUUGAUCGGUGGAUUUAAAAAUGUAAUACAAUGUCCCCUUUGUCCGCCCGAGGUUAGGGAGGAAAUAAAAGCUUUUGUUGAAAAGAAAAAUUUAGUAAUAACUCAAAUGAGUUAUGAAGAUGAUGAGAUGGAUGAAGAAGGUGAAAUGGGACCACCCCCCUAAAAGGCACUCUCAAUCUAGUGGGUCAUCCACGGCACGUUCGGUGGCAAAAGGCCC
rnacentral:lncRNA from 1 species